rnacentral:sRNA from 1 species
CGCAGUGGGGGUUCAGUCUUUAAAAAGA